rnacentral:misc_RNA from 1 species
UUUCCGUAGGUGAACCUGCGGAAGGAUCAUUAUCGAUUCAAACCAAAUGAGAGGGAAGUUGUCAUAGUAGUGCUGGCCUCUGUCAUGGAGGUAUUGUGCACGCUCGACUUCUUCCUUUCUUCAUUUACACACCUGUGAACUUGUUGUAGGGUUGUCUCGCAAGAGACGCUCUAUGUCUUUCUCAUAUACUCCAUAAUGUUUAUAGAAUGUACCUUUUUGCUCUCGUCAGAGACAAAAAUAAAGCCUUUAUAACUUUCAGCAACGGAUCUCUUGGCUCUC